rnacentral:rRNA from 1 species
UACAGAGACUGCAAGCGUUAUUCGGAUUCACUGGGCGUAAAGGGUGCGCAGGCGGCCCAAGUGUGUUAGGCGUGAAAGCCCGGGGCUUAACCCCGGAAUUGCACCUAAAACUACAUGGCUAGAGCAUUGGAGAGGGUAGCAGAAUUCAUGGUGUAGCAGUGAAAUGCGUAGAUAUCAUGAGGAAUACCAGAGGCGAAGGCGGCUACCUGGACAAUUGCUGACGCUCAGGCACGAAAGCGUGGGGAGCAAAAGGG